ACGGGAGGCAGCAGUGGGGAAUAUUGGGCAAUGGGCGAAAGCCUGACCCAGCAACGCCGCGUGUAGGAAGAAGGUCUUCGGAUUGUAAACUUCUUUUAUGAGGGACGAAGGACGUGACGGUACCUCAUGAAUAAGCCACGGCUAACUACAUGCCAGCAGCCGCGGUAAUACGUAGGUGGCAAGCGUUAUCCGGAUUUACUGGGUGUAAAGGGCGCGUAGGCGGGGAUGCAAGUCAGAUGUGAAAUCUAUGGGCUUAACUCAUAAACUGCAUUUGAAACUGUAUUUCUUGAGUGCUGGAGAGGUAGAUGGAAUUCCUUGUGUAGCGGUGAAAUGCGUAGAUAUAAGGAAGAACACCAGUGGCGAAGGCGAUCCACUGGACAGUAACUGACGCUGAGGCGCGAAAGCGUGGGGAGCAAACAGGAUUAGAUACCCUGGUA
rnacentral:rRNA from 1 species